AGUUCCUGACAGUGCUGCAGUAGCAGUACACAGGCCGGAGGCAGCUGAGGGAUACUGAUCGUAUCUGAUGGUACUGCAGAACUGGAAACUAGAACGUUUCAUUAUUAUCCACAACAUUAGUUUCACUAUGGAUUCGCUCAGACGGUUUCAGGAUGACGGGUAUAAAAACUGGAUUAAAACAACCAUGGGUCUGAAUUGUCUUAAAAUGCGACUUGGAGGUUUCCUGGAAAACGAAAUCGAGAUUUAACACCGUGAACUCCGAAAAAAAGAAAAAAUAAAUUAAAUGGAGCUAUGGAGAACCCAAUGUCUAACCAGGUUCAUAAAGUGUGUAAAGAAGAAGUGUGUGAGCAAUGGAGAGUUGCGAUCUUGGCUAACCAUAAAGGCGGACAGGUGUACUGGAAUAACACCAACCCGUACCUGUGGCCUACAAGGAAAUGGGAGGUGGCCAAGGUCCACAUGAGCGGUGGAAACGGGAAGCACACCAGAGUGGAGGAGUUUGACAUCUCUGCAUUCGUCAACCUAAUGUCCCAUUGCCUCCACUUUCGCAAAUUUGCCAAACCCCAACUUUUCACACCGGUGACCAACGCGAGGAACAAAGUGAUGCACUCGGCUGAAAAAACAAAAAUCUUGGCCAGGCUCUGGAAACACACUCCCCCGAAUUGAGGGAGCUGGCAGAGGAGCUCGAACAGCUCCACAAUACAGACUUCAGUUUUAUUGUGAAGCAGUUUGGAAAAAAUAGGUUAGAGGCAAUGCGGCGGAGGAGGGCAAGAUAUUCGAGGACAUGCAGAAGCUCCAGAAGUUUCUGAGUCUGGAACAACAGAUACUAAAGGAAAAGAUACCAAAGGAAAAGGAGUGUCUGACCCAACGCUAUGAAGAGGACAUAGAGACAGCCCUUACUGUGGACGAGUUGCAAUGUGUGAGAGUGUUUCUGGAGGGGAACAAGCCUGGGACCACAGUGGGAGAGACUGAGAGAGGUGCAAGAAAAAAGUGGACUUACUCAACGACAGAGUGGACACACUGGAGAGGAAUACACACACACACACGAUCCUGAGUUCGCUACUGAAGGCCUCAAAUAUAAGAACCAUCUAUAUGAAGAGGCCAAGAGGCAGGGCUGGCCUCCGGCCGUCUUCUCAGAGGACUCGGUUACAGGGGUCGUGUGAAGGUGAGAGGUCUGAUGUUUGAAGGUACUCAGGUGUGCGGAAAUUCGAAGACCGUGCUCCAGGAAGUAGCUAAACUGGCCCUGCAGCACCAUAGCCAGCUAGCCAAUGACAGCGCUAAUCUGAGGGAGCUAGCCAAUGACACAGAGGAGGGAAAGGCAUCCAGUAGCCAGACGGACAAACCACAUAGCCUCUCAUGCACAGGUUCCAUGUUCUUUGGUAGUGUCACUGUGGUCCUCAAAACUGACGUCACCUCUGGAGAGAGGCAUUCUGGGUAGACAGAGGCUGUUGAGUCUGCCUCCAAGAAACUAGUUCUCCUGUUGGAUCUACCAGAAUCAGGUUAAAGAGCCCUACAGUACAGUAAUCUCUACCUUUACUGUUUCCUCCCAUGUCCAUCAAAAUGCUUGUUGUCAUGGAAACUCUUUUCUUCUUUUGUACCUCAGCUUCACCCUAUAAGGAUGUGGUCCUGGAGCACUGUCAUAUGCGGGAUGUCCCACCCCCAGAGGAGGCCCUCCAAUCUGAUGCAGAGCGGAGGAGCUACCACUGCACCCUCCGAUUCACUGGACCAAUCACCUUCUAUGCCCCAGAGGGUUCCAGAAAAAAGAAACCGGUGCAGCAGGAGGCAGCUAAAGUGGCCCUCCAGCGGCUGUCCGGGGUCCUCGGCAGUAAGGAAGUGGUGGGAGCAAACUACGCAGAUUUGAUUGACAGGUUCCAGUGAGGCUGCAGCCUGUCAGUCGGCAUGCCAGAGGGCGCUGUCUCAACUGGCACUUUAAUUGGCAACUGUGGCCCCAACCAGCAGCACUGAGGAGGCGGUGCAUUGGCUCCAGAUUCUGUUGGAUGGGGCUUGCCUUACAUCUGCUAACUCCGCCCUUACAGGAACUCGGUACAGAAGCUCCAUCCAGCUGAGGUUUUCUGGGUAUAGUAUGCAGACUCGAGGUCAGGGGAAUAAGAAAACCAUUAGAGCCAAAGUCAGCCAGCGCUUACUGGGCCUACUGGGGGAGGACGAGAUGGACUCCAGCAGUGGUACCUCAGUGAGGAAAGUUCUAGAUGAGUGAUUUGUGAAGAGAGGUCUGGAGAAACCUGGGUUUGAGGACAACACUUCUGGGACCAAAGUCACCUUCUCCAACCCUCUACUCUGCUCCUAGAUUGGCAGGCCAGCCAGGAGAAAGCUCAGAAGAGAUUGGUCGAAGAAUUGCAGAGGCGGGUCAAAUACCUGUUUGACGGAAGCACCAACUGAGAGCUCAAAGACCAAUAUAAAGAUAGUUUACUUACACUUGGCUCCAGCAUGGAACGACAACAUGUCCUCUAUUUCCCAGCCUGGAUAUCUCUCCUCCGAGUUUCCC